GCUGCGAUGGCCGAGUGGUUAAGGCGAGAGAUUAGAAAAUCUCUUGGGGUCUCCCCGCGCAGGUUCGAAUCCUGUUCGCAGCG
rnacentral:tRNA from 1 species